GACGAACGCUGGCGGCGUGCUUAACACAUGCAAGUCGAACGGAAAGGCCCCGCUUUUGUGGGGUGCUCGAGUGGCGAACGGGUGAGUAACACGUGAGUAACCUGCCCUUGACUUUGGGAUAACUUCAGGAAACUGGGGCUAAUACCGGAUAGGAGCUCCUGCUGCAUGGUGGGGGUUGGAAAGUUUCGGCGGUUGGGGAUGGACUCGCGGCUUAUCAGCUUGUUGGUGGGGUAGUGGCUUACCAAGGCUUUGACGGGUAGCCGGCCUGAGAGGGUGACCGGCCACAUUGGGACUGAGAUACGGCCCAGACUCCUACGGGAGGCAGCAGUGGGGAAUAUUGCACAAUGGGCGGAAGCCUGAUGCAGCAACGCCGCGUGCGGGAUGACGGCCUUCGGGUUGUAAACCGCUUUCGCCUGUGACGAAGCGUGAGUGACGGUAAUGGGUAAAGAAGCACCGGCUAGCUACGUG
rnacentral:rRNA from 1 species